rnacentral:rRNA from 1 species
UUGGUUAAGUUAGAAAGGGCGCACGGUGGAUGCCUUGGCACUAGGAGCCGAAGAAGGACGGGACUAACACCGAUAUGCUUUGGGGAGCUGUACGUAAGCGUUGAUCCAGAGAUUUCCGAAUGGGGGAACCCACUAUCUUUAGUCGGAUAGUAUCCUUACGUGAAUACAUAGCGUGAGGAAGGCAGACCCAGGGAACUGAAACAUCUAAGUACCUGGAGGAAGAGAAAGAAAAAUCGAUUUCCUGAGUAGCGGCGAGCGAAACGGAAAGAGCCCAAACCAAGAAGCUUGCUUCUUGGGGUUGUAGGACACUCUAUACGGAGUUACAAAAGAAAGUUAUAAAUGAAGCGGUCUGGAAAGGCCCGCCAAAGACGGUAACAGCCCGGUAGUUGAAAUGGCUUUCCCUCCAGAGUGGAUCCUGAGUACGGCGGAACACGUGAAAUUCCGUCGGAAUCCGGGAGGACCAUCUCCCAAGGCUAAAUACUCCCUAGUGACCGAUAGUGAACCAGUACCGUGAGGGAAAGGUGAAAAGCACCCCGGAAGGGGAGUGAAACAGUUCCUGAAACCGUGUGCCUACAAGUAGUUAGAGCCCGUUAAUGGGUGAUAGCGUGCCUUUUGUAGAAUGAACCGGCGAGUUACGAUUUGUUGCAAGGUUAAGCGGAAAAAGCGGAGCCGUAGCGAAAGCGAGUCUGAAUAGGGCGCAUAAGUAACAGGUCGUAGACCCGAAACCAGGUGAUCUACCCAUGUCCAGGAUGAAGGUAAGGUAAUACUUACUGGAGGUCCGAACCCACGCACGUUGAAAAGUGCGGGGAUGAGGUGUGGGUAGCGGAGAAAUUCCAAUCGAACUUGGAGAUAGCUGGUUCUCUCCGAAAUAGCUUUAGGGCUAGCCUCGAGGUAAAGAGUCAUGGAGGUAGAGCACUGUUUGGACUAGGGGCCCUUCUCGGGUUACCGAAUUCAGAUAAACUCCGAAUGCCAUGUACUUAUACUCGGGAGUCAGACUGCGAGUGAUAAGAUCCGUAGUCGAAAGGGAAACAGCCCAGACCACCAGUUAAGGUCCCCAAAUAUAUGUUAAGUGGAAAAGGAUGUGGGGUUGCUUAGACAACCAGGAUGUUGGCUUAGAAGCAGCCACCAUUGAAAGAGUGCGUAAUAGCUCACUGGUCGAGUGACCCCGCGCCGAAAAUGUACCGGGGCUAAACAUAUUACCGAAACUGUGGAUGAACCUCUUUAGAGGUUCGUGGUAGGAGAGCGUUCUAAGGGCGGUGAAGUCAGACCGGAAGGACUGGUGGAGCGCUUAGAAGUGAGAAUGCCGGUAUGAGUAGCGAAAGAAGGGUGAGAAUCCCUUCCACCGAAUAUCUAAGGUUUCCUGAGGAAGGCUCGUCCGCUCAGGGUUAGUCGGGACCUAAGCCGAGGCCGAUAGGCGUAGGCGAUGGACAACAGGUAGAGAUUCCUGUACCAGUGCUAAUUGUUUAACCGAUGGGGUGACACAGAAGGAUAGGGAAUCGCACGAAUGGAAAUGUGCGUCCAAGCAGUGAGUGUGAGAAGUAGGCAAAUCCGCUUCUCGCGAAGCAUGAGCUGUGAUGGGGAAGGAAAUUAAGUACGGAAGUUCCUGAUUUCACGCUGUCAAGAAAAGCCUCUAGGAAGAGUAGUACUGCCCGUACCGCAAACCGACACAGGUAGAUGAGGAGAGAAUCCUAAGGUGAGCGAGAGAACUCUCGUUAAGGAACUCGGCAAAAUGACCCCGUAACUUCGG